rnacentral:rRNA from 1 species
UAGGGAAUCUUGGACAAUGGGCGAAAGCCUGAUCCAGCCAUGCCGCGUGAGUGAUGAAGGCCUUAGGGUUGUAAAGCUCUUUCGCCAGGGAAGAUAAUGACGGUACCUGGAUAAGAAGCCCCGGCAAACUUCGUGCCAGCAGCCGCGGUAAUACGAAGGGGGCUAGCGUUGUUCGGAAUUACUGGGCGUAAAGCGCACGUAGGCGGCUUUCCAAGUUGGAGGUGAAAUCCCCGGGCUUAACUCGGGAACUGCCUCCAAAAACUGGACGGCUCGAGUCCGAGAGAGGUGAGUGGAAUUUCCAGUGUAGAGGUGAAAUUCGUAGAUAUUGGAAAGAACACCAGUGGCGAAGGCGGCUCACUGGCUCGGUACUGACGCUGAGGUGCAAAGACAGCGUGGGGAGCAAAACAGGAUUAGAUACCCUGGUAGUCCACGCCGUAAACGAUGGGUGCUAGUUGUCAGGCAGCUUGCUGUUUGGUGACGCAGCUAACGCAUUAAGCACCCCGCCUGGGGGAGUACGGUCGCAAGAUUAAAAACUUAAAGGAAUUGAC